AAUCUUCUAAGUACUUGAUUGCUAUCUCUAUAGAUAUGAAAACUGGGUUUGAGAACACAUUUCUAGGCUGUUGCCAGUCUCUUCAGUGAAUUCUGUAAGUCACUCUAUGUUUUGCUUCACCUUUGCCAUCUGCAAAAGACUGUCUGGUGGAAAGCACUAUUCAAGAGCUAUUUUCUGUAUUUAUUUGCAAAAGCUGUUCCAUGCAGCAGAUAGCACUUUCCCUUCCUUGCCUUCUGCUUGGCAUGAGCAGAGCAUAAAGGAUGAAGCUCAGACAUGUGCAAUGGCCCCAAAGGUAGGUGGGGAAUGCUUCUUGGUGGUAGGACACUUGGUCACCGAGGGCCCAGCCCCAUGGGUGCUGCUCCUAGGGUAUCACACUUGCAGAGGAAAGACUGGAGGAGCCUGUGGGGACCCUUGCUUUGUAUGGAGGGAGAGGGGAAGGAGGGGACCAGGCCUUGGAGCAGGCUCAGCAGGCUGCUUGGGAACCAGCGAGUAGGGAAAGGAGAGGGAGCCGAAGGCAACCACUGCCAUAGCCGUGUUGGCACGAUGUCAGCAAGAGCAGUAGCGACUUGGACCAGCUCUCCGCUGUGACCCUUCCCGACUGCACCGCGGGGCCGCUGCGGUCACCACGGCAACAGCGCAUCCCUGUGGCGCGGUUGCCUGGUGACGGCGGCGGGGCCGAGGCGGCCGCAGAGGGUGAGCGGGGCCGGACCGAGCCCCUCCGUCAGCGGCUGACCCGGGGCUGGGUCUCCUCGGCCUGGCUGGACGCUUUUCCCAGAGCACAACCCCUCCUGAUGGCCGGCGCCGCAGUGGCAGCCGUGCGGAGGUGCGAGUGUGGCACCAGGAUGGGAGCAGGCGUGGCAGGUCCUUGUCAUAGGGAGGGCUGCAUCACCCAGCCGGCAUCCCAGAGGAGAAGCAGAUGGCAUGCUUUCUUUGGGUAGAUGGAAACACACAUGAACAAAUGCUACAUGUCAGUGUAAUGAGGCUAUUUGAAAAGAAGUUACCGCCUUUGCAAGCCUGGAAGAUGAUUUGAAUUGAGAGGAUGGACUGAGAUGCAUGUGAGCUGCAUAUUUUAAAACACAGGGAAGUAUGUGCAAGGUCUUAGGAGCAAAGAGCCUGGAAGGCACAGAACAAAGCAUCUGCUACAAGAGAAACAUUGAGAAAGAGCAGCCUUUUGAAACUCUAUGCUGUUAAAAACUGUUCAGCUGCUGUCUAGAAAGAUGCAAAGGGUCCCUGCUCUCAAAAACGCUCACAAGGGCAGCCUGGAGAGAAGAAAUAUUGUCUUUCAUUGAUGGUCCUGGGUGAGUCAUUCACCCUCUGUCUGACUCAGCACUGAGCACUCCUGCACUUCCCAGAACAUCUCCCA